CCUACGGGUGGCAGCAGUGAGGAAUAUUGGUCAAUGGGCGCGAGCCUUAACCAGCCAAGUCUCGUUAGGGAUGACGGUCCUACGGAUUGUAAACCUCUUUUGCCGGGGAGCAAGCGUUCGUUCGUGAACGCGCGUCGAGAGUACCCGGAGAAAAAGCAUCGGCUAACCCCGUGCCAGCAGCCGCGGUAAUACGGAGGAUACGAGCGUUAUCCGGAGUUACUGGGUUUAAAGGGUGCGUCGGCGGGAUGCCAAGUCAGCGGUAAAAAUGCGGUUCUCAACGCCGUCGCGCCGGUGAAACUGGCGUUCUUGAGUGGGCGAGAAGUAUGCGGAAUUCGUGGUGUAGCGGUGAAAUGCAUAGAUAUCACGCAGAACUCCGAUUGCGAAGGCAGCAUACCGGCGCCUUACUGACGCUGAGGCACGAAAGCGUGGGUAUCGAACAGGAUUAGAUACCCGAGUAGUC
rnacentral:rRNA from 1 species